UGGACCCGUAAUCCGGGUUGCGGACAGUGUCUGGUGGGUAGUUUGACUGGGGCGGUCUCCUCCUAAAGAGUAACGGAGGAGCACGAAGGUUGGCUAAUCCUGGUCGGACAUCAGGAGGUUAGUGCAAUGGCAUAAGCCAGCUUGACUGCGAGCGUGACGGCGCGAGCAGGUGCGAAAGCAGGUCAUAGUGAUCCGGUGGUUCUGAAUGGAAGGGCCAUCGCUCAACGGAUAAAAGGUACUCCGGGGAUAACAGGCUGAUACCGCCCAAGAGUUCAUAUCGACGGCGGUGUUUGGCACCUCGAUGUCGGCUCAUCACAUCCUGGGGCUGAAGUAGGUCCCAAGGGUAUGGCUGUUCGCCAUUUAAAGUGGUACGCGAGCUGGGUUUAGAACGUCGUGAGACAGUUCGGUCCCUAUCUGCCGUGGGCGCUGGAGAACUGAGGGGGGCUGCUCCUAGUACGAGAGGACCGGAGUGGACGCAUCACUGGUGUUCGGGUUGUCAUGCCAAUGGCACUGCCCGGUAGCUAAAUGCGGAAGAGAUAAGUGCUGAAAGCAUCUAAGCACGAAACUUGCCCCGAG
rnacentral:rRNA from 2 species